GUCCACGCCGUAAACGAUGCACACUAGAUGACGGGGACUCUGACGUUUCCGCCGUCGUAGCAAAAGUGCUAAGUGUGCCGCCUGGGGAGUACGGCCGCAAGGCUAAAACUCAAAGGAAUUGACGGGGGCUCACACAAGCGGUGGAGCAUGUGGCUUAAUUCGAAGCAACGCGAAGAACCUUACCCGGGUUUGACAUGCAUGGAUGUUUCUCGGCGAUGAGUUGAGAAAUUACCUUUCGGGGUGAAACAUGCACAGGUGUUGCACGGCUGUCGU
rnacentral:rRNA from 1 species